GGGAGAUUAGAAGCUUCUAAAGGGUGCUUGCCUCUCCCUUUUACCCAAUGAUAUCCUCUUUUAACCCAAAAUCAUCAAUCCUUUAUGUUGUAUGCGUAUCUAUCAAAAGUAUAUACUCACAUAAAGACGAGACUGGGAAUUCAAGUUGAUCUCUUGUAUGGUUUCUUUCUUGCAGUAUAUAUUCUGCUCAUUAUGAUCAUUUUUGCUUGAGAAACGCUCAAUGCAGGCAUUUGCCUGCAGUGGGCUAAGCGUGGGUCCGCCCUUUUAUGCCUUCUCCAACACUAAUAGUUAUCUUGAUUUUACAAUGGCUUUCAAAGUCGUCCAUUGUCAUUGUAGGUAUUAAGAGCAUUUCUAAGAGAUUUUCUAUUUUUAGAAAGCAUAUUGUGUAAUUUAGAGAGCAUUUAUAAAUUUUAAGAGUAAAAAUUUUUAAGUACUCCAAUAGAAUCUUCAUAUUUAAUGCUUAAAUUUACUACUUUAAAGAAAUAUUUAUUGCUUUUGUUUUUCCCUCUCUUUUAUUUUCAC
rnacentral:lncRNA from 1 species